GCAGUCGCCGCGGUAAUACGGAGGGUGCAAGCGUUAAUCGGAAUUACUGGGCGUAAAGCGCACGCAGGCGGUCUGUCAAGUCAGAUGUGAAAUCCCCGGGCUUAACCUGGGAACUGCAUUUGAAACUGGCAGGCUAGAGUCUUGUAGAGGGGGGUAGAAUUCCAGGUGUAGCGGUGAAAUGCGUAGAGAUCUGGAGGAAUACCGGUGGCGAAGGCGGCCCCCUGGACAAAGACUGACGCUCAGGUGCGAAAGCGUGGGGAGCAAACAGGAUUAGAGACCCCGGUAGUCCCUGUCUCUUAUAC
rnacentral:rRNA from 1 species